rnacentral:lncRNA from 12 species
AUGAAUUUGUUUCUUUUUUCCCAGGGGCCCGGAUCCACAGGCUUGGAAACCUGGUGCCCAAGAAGAAAUGCAUCUACUGUGUCCCUGAACCCAUUCUGGGCUUGGAACAUGAAGAUGCCCAACACAGAAGAGUCAACAUGGAUUUUCAGGUGUAUCCAGAAAUUUUUGGAUUUGUGAUUUUUAGAAGAUGACUGAUUUACAGACAUGACAUGUUCCGCAGUACUAGCAUGUGUGAUCAGUUAGUAAUGGAUAAUAUAACUAUGAAAACAAUGAUUUUUAUAUGUUUUUAGUCUUUGAUCAGCAUUAAUUUCGUAAUAUAAUGCUGCUUCCAUUACUCAAAAUCAUUGUGUCUCACCCACCUCAGGAAUUAAAAAAAUUACUUGAGCCCAAACAUCAAGAUAAUUCAAGCAUCCAUCUAUACAAAAUCCCCUAUCCAUAAGGUAAUAUGAGCCCCUUUCUAAUAGUCAAAAUAUCAAUCUCACUUCAGUAGGCAUUAAUGGACCUGCCACUGAAUCAGUGCUGUACAUUCUAAGAAGAUUCUUUUAGUGUUUUUGUAAAUCAGCCAUUUAAACAACCAUUUAAUUAGCCAACAUUUCCUUAGCACAGGAGGACUGUGUGUGCCCAAGCUGUCUUUGAGGAAGCUCACCUUAUACACAGGGAGAAAGGCAGAGGGAGGAAGUGACUCAAAGGCACUAUGGAACCAUGUUAAAAACUGAGAUUUGCAUUGACUUGGGAUGACCUCUCAUGACAUUGUUUUCAUAUUUAGCAAAUUUCUCUGUAACCAAAUGAUAAUAGGUCAAAUCUCUACUCUGUAGAGUCAGGUACUGACAGGAAAGGGUUCGGUGUGUAAAGGAAAGGGGGAAGACAAAUGAGGGAAAAACCCCAGAGUAGAGCAAAGGUAAACUUCUGCUCCUCCACCCCUACCCCUUCCUGACCAUGCUGGAGUUCUUAACCUUGAACAAGGCCUUAAGGAGAGGGUUGGGUUGUUGGUUGGGUUCCUCCUUCACAGCCUUGCCUGUCUUAAAAAUAAUCUCUCACUACAAAGGCAGCUCAGAGAGAUAGAUAAGGAGUUAGUGAAUCAUAGGGGCCAAUUUCUUUAAGAUCGUGUACAUUUUCCUUACAAUAAUCAUUUUUGUCAAUGUGAUUAUAUUUUACAUAAAAUUUGAAUUUUCAAUUAAAAAUGCAUUUAAUUCAGUUUAGACCUCUUCAGAGGGCUUUUUCUUCUUUCCCACAUACAAUAGCAGGGUUUUCCUCUUUGGAACUAGAGAAUCAGUAAUGUAGCUCUUCUUUAUUUAUUUAUUUUAUUUUUUUGUCAAGAGGUUGACUAAUAUUAUAAGAAGUAAGUAUAGUGAUAUCUUAUUGAUACAAUUUUUGGAUUGAUACAGAAGUCAUCACAUAAUUGUGGCAGUUACACAACUUCAUUUUACAGAGGACAGAAGAGAGGUGCAGGGAAUCUGAUCCCAAAAUCCCACAUGGAGCAACAUUCAUUCAGAGCAGAAGGUGGAGGUCCCCAGACUCAUCCAGGGCUGAUGCACUAACCUGCAUGAGGAUCAUAUCCCCCCACAGGAGCUGAGCCCCAGACAUGCCAGUGCAGGAGGGUGCUGAAAAGUAGGCCCUCAGCUUUCUGAGCUUCUGCUCCCUGACUCUCCACUGCAAGUAACUAAGCAGGAGGCGGGGCAGCAACAUAGAAAAUGGAAUCAGGAGGUGACUUUAGAUCCCAGCUUUCAACCAUUUUGUGGCAAAACUCCAGGAAGUCCUUUACCCUUGAAAUGAUUUGCAGAGUAUUUUAUUACCACAUUCAUCAUGGGCAUGGUCAGAUUCUUCAAUCGCCAGUCUGCCACAGCUCUGUUCAUUAGAAAUAAAUAUAAAUCACUAUUGGAGACA